GCUUCAACUACAGCAUAUGGAAGUUCCUGGGCUAGGGUUUAAAUUGGAGCUGCAGCUGCUGGCCUAAGCCACAGCCACGCAACAAUGCUGAAUCCUUAACCUACUGAGGGAGGCCAGGGAUUGAUCCGGCAUCCUGAUGGACACUGUAUCAGAUUCUUAACCUCCUGAGCCACAACACGAACUCCACUUUGCUGGAACUUUUAUAUGGAGUCUCUGACUACACUUUUAAAAGGCCUCUCAGGGCUAGGAAAGUCAUGCCAAGGGCUUGUUACAGAUCUCACCUUAGGGAUUUAGGUGAAUUCCUCCCUUUUUAAGGUCCUCAAAAUACCUUGAGAUUCCUCCACCUAUUAGGAGGUGUAGUCUUUCUCAUUUACCUGAUAAAGCUGCUGGGAACUUUCUAUCUGGAGCAAUCAGAUAGAAAAAGUAAAUGUUUCAAUUCCGCUUACAAGGGUAUAAUUUGCCAAACUGAUGAAAGUAAUAAUUAACUUGAGAAGAAGGCUUUCCUUAUAUCUGGAAAAUGAAGAUUAAAACCAGUAAUUUUUCCAUAAAACUUAUAAAAAUUAUAACCAGAGUCACCAGUUCACUCAGUCCUAUGUAACUAAUCCUUUUUGUUAACACUUCUAUGAAGCUUAAUUUCUUACCCAGUUCGGUGUUAUGGACUGAACACUCAGAAACUUGUACUUUUCAAAAAGUCCUUUCAAUAAAUCUUCUUGAAGAGGAAACAUUUUUGCAAAGGAAUCAGAAUAAAACUAUAACUGUCUAUAAUGGAAAAAAUACUUGAGAAGGCACAUUUAAAGUCUGAUUACAAUGCAAUUGACAAACUUGGUUACUGCUGUGACAUACAAUAUUUUAAGAUAAUAACUAGAAUUAUGACUGAUAACAUUUUUCAGGACAUACCAUAUUUUUAGGAAUUCUAUAUAAUUUCUAGAAUAUCUAUAUUAAUAACAUCUUCCCAUACAAUAUAAACUAAGAUUUAUUACUCAUUUGACAAUACUUCCCAUGUAAUUUAACAUACCAAAUGAGACUAAUUAAUAUCUCUCUUUGGGGUAGUUCAGGGGCCCUUUGAAGCAUCCCAAAGUUAGCUAGAGGUCAAAGGAACUUCAUUAGAAUUUGAUGUGGGAAGCUUUGUCAAAAAAUGACAAAAAGUUUUAAAACAAUUGGUCAGAUAAGAAGAUCGGUCACUGGGAAACAAUUGUUACUCACUUAGCCAAAGUGACAAUAAAAGAUUUCAAAGACAAAUACAUAUCAGAUCAUUUAAAAGGUAAAGAAACCUAAAAUAUUAUCAAAAGCCAUUCGACAUUUUAAGAAAUGUCUCUUAGAGUUCCUGUCGUGGCGCAGUGGUUAACGAGUCCGACUAGGAACCACGAGGUUGCGGGUUCGAUCGCUGGCCUUGCUCAGUGGGUUAAGGAUCUGGCGUUGCCAAACACUAAACAAGAAGACAGAACACCAGCAUAACAAACCAUCUGCAGACUGAGACUGGCCCACAGCCCACCCAUUUGCAGUCUCUGUUGUAGAACAACAGCCAGGCUUUCCGCUGAGGGCCCCUGCCUUUCAAGAGGGUCUGACUCACCUUCCAAUCAAUGGAAAAUACACACCCCAGAAACUGUGAAGUGCAUGGCUCCUAAGGUCUGUACAUUCCUGGAAUAGCUUCAGAUGUGUUCUCCAAGUGUGUGGCACUCUACCGGAAACCUGAUCGCUGUUCAUGCAGUAGAGGUGGAUUUGCUGUGAAGCUGAAGAAAGUGAAGCUUAAAUAAGCCCUGAAGCUCAUUUGAAAUGUUACAUUGUCUUUCUUAAUGGGUUCCCCCAAAACUGUGUAAGCUUGGGGCUCCCCAAAGAUGAAUCUGCCCCUGUCCUAUUGAUACUACUGUUUUUCAGGCCAAACUCACAGCCAAAUCUAUUGCUUUAGCAGCUGACCCCACUGCUAAAGAAUCCAGACUUAACAGAGAUUUCUCUUCCAGACAACCAUAGGUGCCAGACAGGAUGCCUGUAAAAUCACCAGAGUGCUUUCCAAGUCUUAAAAUAGUAAAAGCACUAUGUCUAAUGAUAGUGCAUGAUUCUGCAUCGUGUCUAGUUCAUUUAGGGCACCAAUUAAAUGUGUAGAAAGGAUGAUUAUGAUUCUUGGUGGUAACAGGAGCUAUAGUUUGUAAACAUUUGGGUAUAAACAAUGGAGUGACAACUUAGAAUUAACCUGACCUCUUAGGGGACACUGGGUGGCCUAUCACCCAGGCAGCACAGUGAUCAGGCUCUCCAGAAAAGCUCAAGUCUAUCCCACCGCCCUGGGAAGGGGAAGUGGCAAUCACGAAUGAGAGCCCUGUUUUUAAGGGUUCUGAGGAGUUUUAUGGGAUCUUUUCUAUUGAUGUAACUGUUUCUUGGAGAGUGAUUUCACCCGGAAGAAUCUGGGAAUCCUAUGAAGCAACAGAGUGACUUUUUUUUCUUCAUUGGAAGAUAAAUUUUCUAAGACCCUGAGAAGGUGUGGCCAUGUGAAAGGAAAUGGAACCUCCACUGUGAUUUUCUCCCAGGUUAGCUGCCUGCACACUGGGGAACAUGCAUUCCUGGGGUACACAGAGAUUUUCCAGGAGGCACACAGGUAGGGAUGGCUUAAAUGGAAUCCAUUUCCAGAAAUUCAACUUCCGUUUUUACGCAUGCCAAGCCUGUGGACUGCCAAUUAUCCAUUCUCACCUGCCUUACGCAAGGGCGCUGUACAUUAUGGGAAAAAAGACGGACCUAUGGCCUACCCUGCAUUUUACUCUGGUUCAUCAUUUACAAGUGUAAAACCUCUAGGGCAUUAAACAAAAUGACCACUGGAGGAUGCAGCCCUCCUGAGGGAGAGUCAGGAGAGCAAAGAAGAGAGCAUCAGUAAGAAAUAUUCAUGUGGGCAAAGCCUUCCUUCCAUCCAGGAGCCCUGGUAGGGUUCCUUUCUACCUAAGAAUUAGCACAUGCAUUUAUCUGCAUUUUAAAAUAAAGGCAGACUUUUUUUCUGACUGAAUGUGUGGUUUGGCUAUUUGUCUGGCUUGACCACAAGAACUGACUUUGCCAGUUAGAUUAUAUGGCAGGUUUUUUCCGUAUAUUAAAUGAGUUAAACCUACAACUAUAAGGCUCACAUAAAAUAUAGUUAAAGCAUAUACAGAAGAAAAAAUACAUCCUUUGCAAUAUUUAAAUUUGUGAUAAAAAUGUAGAUGUCAACUUAAAAAUGAAAUCAGAUCUAGAGUUUUAUAAAAUUAUUUCAGGACGUACAUGAACCAAAAGGAGCACUGACUUAGGCAAACCUACUUACCUCAGUUUAAUAAGUUUUUAAAUAGUGUUGAGUACUUACUAUAUUUAAAACAUUACAGGUGAACAGAACACAGGCCCUAUUCCUAUGCUGCCUAUAAUCCGGUUAGGAGAUCAAGACAGUUAAUACAAGACAGAAUUCAGUCAGUGGGACAUGGGAAUACUGGAGUAUGUAGGGUGUAGAAAUGGUUGGAGGCAGUCAGAAGCCAUCCUGGAUAAGGAGCAUUUUAGUUGGGUUUUGAAGGAUGGGUAGGAUUUCAAGAGGUAGAAGAGGUAUAAUGGAUGGAACUGUAUGAGGAAAGUCAUUUAAGAAAUUUGGAGGUAUAUUAGAGAAAUAAUGAAUUAAUCUACACUUUGGCUGAGACUGAGAGUAAAGGGAAAGAGAGAGGAGAGGAGAGGAAAGAAAAAACAGAGUUAGGGCCAAACAGAUCACAAAUGCCAUUAGUGAGCAGUGGAGAGUCCUUAGAGGUUUCUGAGCAAAGAAAGAUGAAAUCAGCACUUGGCUCUGGAAGGAAGUCCUGGCAAUCCCGUCCAGGGGCAGUGGAGGUGGAAGACACCCUGGCAGGAACUAACAUCUGUCCAGGGGAGAGAUAAGAAGACCUGAGCUUCUGAAUGGAGCCAAGAAAUAGUCAGG
rnacentral:lncRNA from 1 species